rnacentral:pre_miRNA from 1 species
UCUUAUGGCUGAGCAAAUAAAGUGAUUUCUUGAGAUGGAAUCUACUCCUGUGAAGAUGCUGUGAA